rnacentral:tRNA from 1 species
GGAGAUAUAAUUUAAAUGGUAAAAUAUAUGAUUUGCAUUCAUAAGAAAUAGGUUCGAUUCCUGUUAUUUCCAAU